GAUUAGGCCGGUUUGGUGGAACCACGGAGUUAAGGGACCUGGCCGCUGCGGAUUUUGAAUCUAAAUGCUAAUUUACGCUCAAAGUCGCAGAUUCCGGUUUGCGCUGGACUGAGUUUGUCGUGGGGGUAUCUGUCCUUGGUCGGUUUACUUGCUUGCUUCCAAGGUUCUCAUGUCGUUUGGAAUUCUCAGACAUCUGCCUGCCUCUUCCUCCCAAGGGCUUCAAAAAGGGUUUCUCUGUAGUGUUGGCUGUCCUGGAGCUUGUUCUGCUGACCAUGCUGGCCACAAACUCCAACAGAGGUCUGCCUGUGUCUGCCUCCUGAGUAGUGAGAUUAAAAGCAUGCUCCACCACCUUCUGGAGACAAAUGGUUUUUUUAUGAA